rnacentral:rRNA from 1 species
AGAGUUUGAUCCUGGCUCAGGACGAACGCUGGCGGCGUGCCUAACACAUGCAAGACGAGCGGGGAAUAUUGAGCAGCUUGCUGCUUGGUAUUUCUAGCGGCGGACGGGUGAGUAACGCGUGAGCAACCUGCCUUUAUCAGGGGGAUAACGCAUCGAAAGAUGUGCUAAUACCGCGUAAGACCACAGCUUCACAUGGAGCAGGGGUCAAAGGAGCAAUCCGGAUAAAGAUGGGCUCGCGUCCGAUUAGCUAGUUGGUGAGAUAACAGCCCACCAAGGCGACGAUCGGUAGCCGACCUGAGAGGGUGAUCGGCCACAUUGGAACUGAGAAACGGUCCAGACUCCUACGGGAGGCAGCAGUGGGGAAUAUUGGGCAAUGGGCGAAACCCUGAUGCAGCAACGCCGCGUGAGUGAAGAAGUAUUUCGGUAUGUAAAGCUCUAUCAGCAGGGAAGAUAAUGACGGUACCUGACUAAGAAGCUCCGGCUAAAUACGUGCCAGUAGCCGCGGUAAUACGUAUGGAGCAAGCGUUAUCCGGAUUUACUGGGUGUAAAGGAUGCGUAGGUGGCAGUGCAAGUCAGAUGUGAAAGGCCGGGGCUCAACCCCGGAGCUGCAUUUGAAACUGCUCGGCUAGAGUACAGGAGAGGCAGGCGGAAUUCCUAGUGUAGCGGUGAAAUGCGUAGAUAUUAGGAGGAACACCAGUGGCGAAGGCGGCCUGCUGGACUGUUACUGACACUGAGGCACGAAAGCGUGGGGAGCAAACAGGAUUAGAUACCCUGGUAGUCCACGCCGUAAACGAUGGAUACUAGGUGUGGGAGGUAUUGACCCCUUCCGUGCCGCAGGUAACACAAUAAGUAUCCCCACCUGGGGGAGUACGGCCGCAGGGUUGAAACUCAAAGAAAUUGACGGGGACCCGCACAAGCGGUGGAGCAUGUGGUUUAAUUCGAAGCAACGCGAAGAACCUUACCAGGUCUUGACAUCCCGAUGACCGGUUCGUAAUGGAACCUUCUCUUCGGAGCAUUGGAGACAGGUGGUGCAUGGUUGUCGUCAGCUCGUGUCGUGAGAUGUUGGGUUAAGUCCCGCAACGAGCGCAACCCUUAUCCUCAGUAGCCAGCAAGUAAUGUUGGGCACUCUGUGGAGACUGCCAGGGAUAACCUGGAGGAAGGUGGGGAUGACGUCAAAUCAUCAUGCCCCUUAUGAUCUGGGCUACACACGUGCUACAAUGGCGUAAACAAAGGGAGGCAAAGCCGCGAGGUGGAGCAAAUCCCAAAAAUAACGUCUCAGUUCGGACUGCAGUCUGCAACUCGACUGCACGAAGCUGGAAUCGCUAGUAAUCGCGAAUCAGAAUGUCGCGGUGAAUACGUUCCCGGGUCUUGCACUCACCGCCCGUCA